rnacentral:lncRNA from 10 species
AACAGCCGGGGCUCCAGCGGGAGAACGAUAAUGCAAAGUGCUAUGUUCUUGGCUGUUCAACACGACUGCAGACCCAUGGACAAGAGCGCAGGCAGUGGCCACAAGAGCGAGGAGAAGCGAGAAAAGAUGAAACGGACCCUUUUAAAAGAUUGGAAGACCCGUUUGAGCUACUUCUUACAAAAUUCCUCUACUCCUGGGAAGCCCAAAACCGGCAAAAAAAGCAAACAGCAAGCUUUCAUCAAGCCUUCUCCUGAGGAAGCACAGCUGUGGUCAGAAGCAUUUGACGAGCUGCUAGCCAGCAAAUGUAAGUUAACUCUUGAGCUUGAGCCAUUGCUAACAUCGCAAAAGCCUGGAAAGGCUGCGUCCACCUAACAAAAGAGCAGCUUGCCUGAGGGGGAUUAGACUGCAGUCACUAUAGGAUAAAGCCUGUUUUUCUUUCCUUUAUUUCCCAGGGUUUAACAAAUAAAUGCAUAUAUUCUCUCCAGGUGGGGAAGAAAAUCAGCCUAAACAAAUUAAAGUGGCAGUUGCUUAUAGUUAAGGUUGAGUCAGUUUUUCCAUUGCAUACAAUGUUUUCAAGAGGCUUAGUUCCCAGAGAAUUUAUGGCUCCCCUAUAAAUAUUUACUUUGCAUUGACAGCAAAGUACUUAUAUUUUUGCAGCAGAGUGCCAACAUAAGCCUUUUGCCUACUGGUAUCUUAGUCUUUAAAAAGCUAAAUUUUGAGAAUUACAGGUUUGAGCGAAAUCUAGAAAAUUCAUUUAGAAAUAAUUAAAAUGUGAGGGAUAGGAGAAACAUAAGGAAUCAUUUGGUCUCUCAGUUCUUCACAUUCUGCAUGCUCUCUUUUCUCCCCCCUUCAGAUGGUCUUGCUGCAUUCAGGGCUUUUUUAAAGUCGGAAUUCUGUGAAGAAAAUAUUGAAUUCUGGCUGGCCUGUGAAGACUUCAAAAAAACCAAAUCACCCCAAAAGCUGUCCUCAAAAGCAAGGAAAAUAUAUACUGACUUCAUAGAAAAGGAAGCUCCAAAAGAGGUAAGGAAACAAGUUCCUAAUUUCAGCACAAUCUGGACAUCUUUAGCACAAAAGUGAAACAAAGUAAUCAAGGACAAAGCGGGCUAGGAGGGGUAAAAAGUCCCUCCACGUUGUAGCUUUCAGUUAUGUUAAAGUUCUCCUGUGACUUAGCUAGUAAAGCUAAUCACACAUAAUUUUUAUUUUUUGUUUUCAAAUACUAAAUUUUAAUCUUUAACUCUGAAUACCAAAUAAACAACUUUUUUGUUUUAUUUCAGAUAAACAUAGAUUUUCAAACCAAAACUCUGAUUGCCCAGAAUAUACAAGAAGCUACAAGUGGCUGCUUUACAACUGCCCAGAAAAGGGUAUACAGCUUGAUGGAGAACAACUCUUAUCCUCGUUUCUUGGAGUCAGAAUUCUACCAGGACUUGUGUAAAAAGCCACAAAUCACCACAGAGCCUCAUGCUACAUGAAAUGUAAAAGGGAGCCCAGAAAUGGAGGACAUUUCAUUCUUUUUCCUGAGGGGAAGGACUGUGACCUGCCAUAAAGACUGACCUUGAAUUCAGCCUGGGUGUUCAGGAAACAUCACUCAGAACUAUUGAUUCAAAGUUGGGUAGUGAAUCAGGAAGCCAGUAACUGACUAGGAGAAGCUGGUAUCAGAACAGCUUCCCUCACUGUGUACAGAACGCAAGAAGGGAAUAGGUGGUCUGAACGUGGUGUCUCACUCUGAAAAGCAGGAAUGUAAGAUGAUGAAAGAGACAAUGUAAUACUGUUGGUCCAAAAGCAUUUAAAAUCAAUAGAUCUGGGAUUAUGUGGCCUUAGGUAGCUGGUUGUACAUCUUUCCCUAAAUCGAUCCAUGUUACCACAUAGUAGUUUUAGUUUAGGAUUCAGUAACAGUGAAGUGUUUACUAUGUGCAACGGUAUUGAAGUUCUUAUGACCACAGAUCAUCAGUACUGUUGUCUCAUGUAAUGCUAAAACUGAAAUGGUCCGUGUUUGCAUUGUUAAAAAUGAUGUGUGAAAUAGAAUGAGUGCUAUGGUGUUGAAAACUGCAGUGUCCGUUAUGAGUGCCAAAAAUCUGUCUUGAAGGCAGCUACACUUUGAAGUGGUCUUUGAAUACUUUUAAUAAAUUUAUUUUGAUAAAUAAUAUUGAA